GGAGGGUGGCGGGAGAGUAAGAUCUCGAAGCUUCGGAGGGUGCGGCCGACAUCCGGGCACCUGGGGCCGUCGAGCUGAGGCGCGCCUCGGGGCCCUGCUUGGUAGGGCUGCGGCCAUGCUGAAGUGCGGGAUGAGCGGCAGUCAGGUGAAAGUAUUUGGGAAAGCAAUCCAAGCUCUAUCACGAGUCAGUGACGAGCUGUGGUUAGACCCAUCUGAAAAAGGUCUUGCUUUAAGAUCUGUGAAUUCUUGUCGGUCAGCAUACGGAUGUGUUCUCUUCUCUCCUGUGUUUUUUCAACAUUAUCAAUGGUCAACCUCAGUGAAAAUGAAUGAUAAUGAUUCGACUUCAUCAAACUUAAAUUGCAAAUUGGGAAUGAAGUCAAUUCUGCCCAUCUUUAGAUGCCUGAAUUCCCUCGAAAGAAAUGUAGAGAAGUGCAAAAUAUUCACCAGAUCUGAUAAAUGUAAAGUGGUUAUUGAAUUCUUCUGCAGACAUGGUAUUAGAAGAACUCAUAAUGUAUGUUUUCAAGAAAGUCAGCCCUUGCAAGUUAUUUUUGAAAAGAAUAUGUGUUCUAAUACACUAGUGAUUCAACCAAGAGUGCUUGCUGAGGCAAUUGUUCUUUUCACAUCAAGUCAAGAAGAAGUUACUCUUGCUGUUACCCCACUCAGUGUUUGCCUUAAGAGUUCCAGUGACGAACCAGUGGAUUUGACCAGUUCUGUGUACAGUGAGAUGUUUGUUGGCCCAGAUGAGUUUGACUUCUUUCAAAUUGGAGUUGAUAGUGAAAUAACAUUUUGCUUCAAAGAAUUGAAGGGAAUACUGACGUUUUCAGAAGCUACACAUGCUCCUAUAGCCAUUCAUUUUGAUUUUCCUGGGAAACCUAUGGCUUUAAGUAUUGAUGAUAUGUUAUUGGAAGCUAACUUUAUUUUGGCUACAUUAGCUGAUGAGCCAAGUAGAGCAUCUUCUCCGCAGUCACUGUGUCUUUCCCAAAAACAAAAAAGGUCAGAGCCGCUGAGUUCAAAUUCAGAGGCUGGUAAAAAUGUAACCAGCAAGGCCCCAGAAUGUAUCCUGAGAAAAGUAGCACCUAAAAGGCUUUAUCCGAAGGAGACUCUCACAGAUGUCUCUGCACUGGAAAACUGUGGCAGCCCCAUAAUGAAAAGAGCGAAUGGAGACAGGAGUGAAGUGUCGGAAAGCAGCGUCAGCGACACGGAGGAGGUGCCGGGGCCUCCGUAUCUGAGGAAGCUGUGUAUUUUUAGUAAGAAUACAACAGAAUGACGCUGUGUUCUUCUACAUCAUAUCUGGAGGCACAUGAUGGAGACUUGCCUUGUGUGAUGCAGAGAAGAAUCUAAUGGAACUGAUGCCAAAAAAUUAUUUCUGUUAUCUGACAUAGAUCAGCAGCCUCCACUGCCAGGGACCCUAGGUUUGGAGUAAAAUGAAGUAGAUUACAAAUGUCUCUGUUCUUUGUCCGUCUGAGAAUCAGCUUCCUACCUGAACAAACAGACUAAAAAAUCUGGCACAAAACCAUUGUUAUGUAAUUUUACGCCUGCCUCUCCCUCCCCCAAACCUGUUUAGAGUCCAUGAUAACCUGACAAACUCUUGACUUCUGUAACAUCUUACUGUGGAGUCUUUGUGAACCAACACAUCACAAGGAAAUGUUUAACUGGCAAGCAGUUGUACGUUUUGUGAGGAUUUCAUACACAAAGGUGGCAGAGUGAAUUAGUAAACUUUAGAACUGUGAACAGAGUUCUAACUAAAACCAGAAUGAAUUUGGCUCUUGUAGCUUAGUCAAUGAGUCAGAGCUACCCACAAUAACCUAAUAAAAACUCAAGUUCAUCCCAAAAUGUUCCUCAGUGAAUGAAAAUGGGCUUUCACCAAGCUUUUUGUGGAAAUUGGCAAUGCCCACAUAAUUUCAAGUCCUUUCACACUGUAGGCUAAAGAUUUACAUAUCUUAUGCUUACACUGAUGAUUAACACUGAAAUUUCACAAAUUCCUAACGAUUGCGGAUGACUACAAAGAGAGCAGGUGUACCCAAGAGUAACCGGAGGUCUCCUUGCAGAGGAUGAAGUUUCUGGUUCGCUCACUGAAAUGGGCAGAGGGGUGCACGUUGUGAAGGCACCCUCACCAAUAAUUGCCUGGAUGCAGCACAAGUCUGGAAGAGAUAGUCACACUAUUAAAUUGUAUGUAAUUUGGGUUUUAUAAUUUGCAUACAGAAUGCUAAGUUUAAAUGACACCAGAUUUUUUUGUGGCUUCAUUCCAUACCAUUUUUGGAAGAUGCAAAAGCCUUCUCAGUUGGGAAAACAUCUAUAUUUUACAUUCAAUUAUCAGUCCAUUUUGAUGAAUUUUUGAGGCAGCUAAACUGAUGUAGUAAACCAGCUGGUGAAAAAGAGCUAAGUGGGAUAAACUAGUAAAAGACAGAAAAUGAUAGCUACAAAGUAAGGAGUACUGCUGGCAUGACUAAGAGCCUUGGAAAUGAGGGCUUGACAGAGACCCACAAAAUGCCAAGGGCUGGUGUCUUACGUAGUUAAGGUUCAAAUUAAGAGGAGUUAACACAGAUUAGUAUAAAUACUAUAUUUAUUAAAUAUCUUUACAGUUUAUUUAAAUGUAUUUACAGAACUAUUCCUGCAUAAGUUAUAUUUCAGACAUCCAAUUCAGGUCAUUGCCUCUUGGGUAAGACAAACAAUGAUAGUCUCAACAGAAAAAAGCAGCUCAUUAGUAUACACAAAUUCAAAUUUGCUUCAUUAUUUAGCCAUCUUUGCCACAAACUACCUGCUAACAGUUAAAAUUUUGCCAUGGACACUGUUGAUGUUUAGUUUGAGAAGUUCAGUUUUGCAAAGAAUUUGUUUUUAGCAAAUAGAAUCCAAAUCCUUUUCUGCUUCACAUUUUCAAUUUUAUAAGUAGAUUUUGCUUUGUUUUUCAUAUUGUAAAAUUUUUUCACUGCAAAAUGUGAUAGUUUCCAGGGAAAUUGGAUGCUGUAGCUUCUACCAAAGAUAGCUGGUAUAAGGUGACAAGGAACCAUGAACUUAUUCCAGAGGACAAACAUUUACAGUUCUAGCCAAUCUUGUUUACAAUCUCCAAAACGCUCAAAACCGACUCAGUGAAUCCCAACAACUCCUGCCUCGUUACUCAAGGUGGUGGGUUGGUGCUACUGAAGGUGGUACUGAAGGCUACUGUUCUAUCCAGAACAAAUGCAGCUGACAGGAGAGGACACACUCCUAUCACGCAAAGCUUAAAAUCUAGUUUCUAAUCUAGACACAGCCCGCCCCCCCAGACAUGCAUACCUGGAAUGGAUUCUUUUGUGAUUUAGUACCUAUCAACCACAUCAAGCCAGGACAGUAAUUCAGGACAAAUAACUUGUUUCCCCCACCCCCAUUUCUUCUUUCAGUUUUGAAGAGCCUAUGGAUUCUACUGCAUUAUCCAUUCAGUAAAUUUUUUUGUGCGCAGGCAGCUUAAGUUCACAGGAAGAAAUAAGGUUCUGAUAUGUUUAGAGUGCACAUUUUAAAACAGAAUAAAAUAAAAAUUUCAAGCAUGUGAUAAAAAUA